UACAGAGGGUGCAAGCGUUGUUCGGAAUUAUUGGGCGUAAAGCGCGUGUAGGCGGCUUGUUAAGUCGGGUGUGAAAGCCCUCAGCUCAACUGAGGAAGUGCGCCCGAAACUGGCGAGCUUGAGUGUCGGAGAGGAUGGCGGAAUACCCCAAGUAGAGGUGAAAUUCGUAGAUAUGGGGUGGAACACCGGUGGCGAAGGCGGCCAUCUGGACGACAACUGACGCUGAGACGCGAAAGCGUGGGGGAGCAAACAGG
rnacentral:rRNA from 1 species